UUUUAAAAUAAUAAAAUACUUUUUCCUAUUAAAAAAAAGUCAUAUAAAUUAUACAUAUUACUCCAUUUUUAAAUACAAUUAUAUUAUGGACAAACCUGUAUCAUCAGAUAUUGUACUCAUUGCGGGUAAUUCUCAUCCAGAAUUGGCUAAUCUCAUUGCCAAUCGAUUAGGUGUUAAACAUGGAGGAUGUUCUGUAUAUCAUAAAUCAAAUCGUGAAACCAUGGUUGAAAUUGGAGAUUCUGUAAGGAGUAAAGAUCUCUAUAUUAUACAAACAGGAACAAAAGAUGUAAACAAUAAUAUAAUGGAGCUUCUGAUUAUGGCAUAUGCAUGUAAAACUUCUUCAGCAAAAAAUAUUGUUGGUGUCAUUCCAUAUUUACCUUAUUCAAAACAAUGCAAAAUGCGUAAGCGAGGAUGUAUAGUUUCUAAACUAUUAGCAAAAAUGCUUUGUAAAAGUGGUUUAACACAUAUAAUUACAAUGGAUUUACAUCAAAAAGAAAUUCAAGGAUUUUUUGAUGUACCAGUGGAUAAUUUGCGAGCUAGUCCAUUUUUAUUACAAUAUAUUCAAGAAUCUAUACCAGACUAUCACAAUUCAGUGAUAGUUGCAAGAAAUCCUGGUAGUGCAAAGAAGGCUACUAGUUAUGCAGAAAGAUUACGUCUGGGAAUAGCAGUAAUUCAUGGAGAACAACGUGAAGCAGAAUCAGACAUGAAUGAUGGACGUUAUUCUCCACCUGCAUUAGCUUCACGAACAAUGGAAGUUGGUGUUGGUGUUCCAAUGCAUCCUGCUAAAGAAAAACCUCCAAUUAAUGUUGUGGGAGAUGUAGGUGGGCGUAUAGCUAUUAUGGUGGAUGAUAUGAUAGAUGAUGUUCAGUCUUAUGUAGCUGCAGCAGAAGUUCUUAAAGAAAGAGGAGCAUAUAAAAUUUAUGUUUUAGCUACACAUGGACUUUUAAGUUCUGAUGCUCCAAGAUUAAUAGAAGAAUCCCCAAUUGACGAGGAAUUAAUUCAACAAAGUGAAUUUAGUUUAAUAAAGUGAAAAAAUAUAUAUAAGAAUAGAUAUCUAGAAGAAAUAAAAUAAACAGUACAUUGAGCAGCGAUCAAGAACUGGCACAUUAAAAAAAUGCUGUUGUUGUUACAAAUACAGUUCCUCAUGAUGUUCAAAAAAUGCAGUGUCCAAAAAUAAAGACUGUCGAUAUCAGUAUUUUGCUGGCAGAGGCUAUUAGGCGUAUUCAUAAUAAAGAGUCUAUGUCAUAUUUAUUUAAAAAUGUUACUUUAGAAGAUUAAAAACUUAAAAUAAUAUAUUUUAAAUAUA